rnacentral:rRNA from 1 species
GGCCUACCAUGGUGGUAACGGGUAACGGGGUGUUAGGGCACGACACCGGAGAGGGAGCCUGAGAAACGGCUACCACAUCCAAGGAUGGCAGCAGGCGCGCAAAUUACCCAAUCCCGACACGGGGAGGUAGUGACAAUAAAUAACAAUACGGGGUUCUUUUGGAUCUCGUAAUUGGAAUGAGUACAAUUUAAAUCUCUUAACGAGGAACAAUUGGAGGGCAAGUCUGGUGCCAGCAGCCGCGGUAAUUCCAGCUCCAAUAGCGUAUAUUAAAGUUGUUGCAGUUAAAAAGCUCGUAGUUGAAUUUCGGGGUUAGUAAGUUGGUCAUGCCUUCGGUAUGUACUGGCUUUACUGAUUCCUCCUUCUUGACGAACCGUGAUGUCAUUAAUUUGGUGUUGCGGGAAAUCAGGACUGUUACUUUGAAAAAAUUAGAGUGUUUAAAGCAGGCUAACGCUUGAAUACAUUAGCAUGGAAUAAUGAAAUAGGACGUUAAUCCUAUUUUGUUGGUUUCUAGGAUCGACGUAAUGAUUAAUAGGGAUAGUUGGGGGCAUUAGUAUUCAAUUGUCAGAGGUGAAAUUCUUGGAUUUAUUGAAGACUAACUACUGCGAAAGCAUUUGCCAAGGAUGUUUUCAUUAAUCAAGAACGAAAGUUAGGGGAUCGAAGACGAUCAGAUACCGUCGUAGUCUUAACCAUAAACUAUGCCGACUAGGGAUCGGAUGAUGUUAUCUUAAUGACUCAUUCGGCCUUACG